rnacentral:rRNA from 1 species
GGUUUUUAGAAAUUAUUAAAAAUCUAACCUGCUCAAUGCCUAAGUAAAUAGCCGCGGUAUCCUGACCGUGCAAAGGUAGCAUAAUAAUUAGUCUUUUAAUUGAAGACUGGAAUGAAAGGAUUAACUUAAUAAUUCUGUCUCAUAGUAAUAUUUUGAACUUUAUAUUUUAGUAAAAAAGCUAAAAUAAAUUUCAAGGACAAAAAGACCCUAUCGAGCUUCAUAAAGAAAUUUUCUAUUCUUAAAGAAACUCAUUCUUUAUUUUACUGGGGCAGUAAAAAAAAUGUUUUUUUUUACAUAUUGUGAAUCAUAAUUCUAGGAAAAUCAAAAAAUUUUUAAAAAACAACAAGUUACCGUAGGGAUAACAGCGUAAUUUUUCUUCAGAGAACAUAUUUACAGAAAAGUUUGCGACCUCGAUGUUGGAUUAAGAACUCUAAUUUGCGCAAAAGCAAAAUAAGAAAGUCUGUUCGACUUUUAAUUUCUUCCA